rnacentral:rRNA from 1 species
AGAGAUGCUUUGGUGCCUUCGGGAACUCUGAGACAGGUGCUGCAUGGCUGUCGUCAGCUCGUGUUGUGAAAUGUUGGGUUAAGUCCCGCAACGAGCGCAACCCUUAUCCUUUGUUGCCAGCGGCUCGGCCGGGAACUCAAAGGAGACUGCCGGUGAUAAACCGGAGGAAGGUGGGGAUGACGUCAAGUCAUCAUGGCCCUUACGGCCAGGGCUACACACGUGCUACAAUGGCGCAUACAAAGAGAAGCGACCUCGCGAGAGCAAGCGGACCUCGUAAAGUGCGUCGUAGUCCGGAUUGGAGUCUGCAACUCGACUCCAUGAAGUCGGAAUCGCUAGUAAUCGUAGAUCAGAAUGCUACGGUGAAUACGUUCCCGGGCCUUGUACACACCGCCCGUCACACCAUGGGAGUGGGUUGCAAAAGAAGUAGGUAGCUUAACCUUCGGGAGGGCGCUUACCACUUUGUGAUUCAUGACUGGGGUGAAGUCGUAACAAGGUAAGCGUAGCGAG